rnacentral:rRNA from 1 species
GACGAACCGUGCGAACGUUGUUCGGAAUCACUGGGCUUAAAGGGCGCGUAGGCGGGCGGCCAAGUCAGGGGUGAAAGCCCCAGCUCAACUGGGGAAGUGCCUUUGAUACUGGUCAUCUCGAGGGAGAUAGGGGCGUGCGGAACUUCCGGUGGAGCGGUGAAAUGCGUAGAUAUCGGAAGGAACACCGGUGGCGAAAGCGGCGCGCUGGAUCUCUUCUGACGCUGAGGCGCGAAAGCCAGGGGAGCGGAACGGG